AUGGCCACACGUGACGCCUGCCCGUUGUGUGGAGCUCCAGACUCAUGGCGGCACGCCCUGGUUUCAUGCACGUCGGCACGCUGUACUUGGGCGCUAUCGGAUCCGGCCUUGGUAGCUCACAUGGCGGAGAUUGAAGACCCCAGCGCCAAGAACUGGCUCUUUAGGAUGCACGAAGAUCUUGAUCAACAGUCUUUUACCAAGAUGAUUGUGACGUUGUGGGUGGUUUGGUAUGCCAGGAGGAAGGCGAUACACGAAGGCAUUUUUCAAUCUCCAAUGCAAACUUCCUCGUUUGUCACCUUGUACCUUAACGAGCUGCAGCAACUGGAGAAGCCUAUCGAGCGACGAGUGCAGGCAGUACAGCAAGGUGGUAACAGGAGUUGGCGUGCGUCACCGCUAGGUGUUACUAUCCGCCCCCAUACGUUCAUCUGUUCCCAUUCUCUCGCCCCUCGCUUGAUCUCCUUCACCAGAAGCUCCGACUAUUUCUGCGGCUCGCCCUUUUUGGUGGUUGUCCACACCAUCCAUCGUUUACUGGGAUCAACGCAUAAUCCGCGCGAUGUCAUCUAUUUGCCGCCAUUCAGGAUCGAAGCUGCAGCCCACUGGCCGGCGCCAAAGAGUAAGCCACACAACGAUGGUGAUCAGCAUGUGCGUGUGUUGGUCGAGUCCGGACGCCGGUGCGUGGCCGCGUCCAUGGCCGUGACGAGUGGAGUCUCCGAGCCGGCCGAGUCUCUGUGCGGCAGUUCCUGCACGUGUGGUGUGCACGGACGUGUCCGUGCACGAGUGCAGCGUGUGUGCGUUCUGAUGGCGAGAUCGGGGGAGCGUGGAGUUGGUCCUAGGCGGGCUCGCACGACCCGGACAUGGCGUCGACGGACGCCGGACGUGUGUCGCCGGCGGAGAAGGAGCUCGGCGUAUGUUGGUGGGAUCGUGAGGGAGCACGGUGCAAUCGGCGUCGGCGCGCCAGGUCAGGUCCGCGGGCUGGGUCACGAUGACAAUGGGAGCAGCAGCGUCAACUCCGGCGAGGGCGAGUCCGGAAACCGGUGCGUGGCCGCGUCCGUGGCCGUGACGAGUGGAGUCUCCGAGCCGGCCGAGUCUCUGUGCGGCAGUUCCUGCAUGUGUGGUGCGUGGGAGCUGCGUCUCCACAGGCUACAAAGCCGGUCACUUCCAGGGAGGAGGGGCAUCAAGGUAGGCGACAUAGUUGCUGCUGAGAGACCAUAUAACUCCAACUCUGUGCUAAAUCUGCAGUUCUGCAUGGACGUUCGGGGCAAGAAUGAGAACUGCCGCUAUAGCCAUCCCUCACUAUCCUACAGCACAAUUGUGGAGAAUCACCUCAGUUUAAUUUUUCUCACCAUGCUUCACUUCCAUUCAGUGUAG
rnacentral:rRNA from 1 species